ACAUUAAGUAAUUGACCUAUAUACAGGGUAAUGACGUGCGUGCUACGCAUUUGGAGUCGUCGCUCCAUCUAGUGAGGACAACUCUACAUUGUAAUUGUUGUUAAUGAAUGCAAACGGCUCAGGAACUUUUUUAUGAUAUGGCAGUCUAUUAGGGAGGCAUACAUUCAGCAGUAAAUAGUGAAUAACUGAAAUGAUAAUUAUGAUUGACAUAACAUAAACAACAAAUAGCAACAUAAACAUUAUGUUAUAACAGAUAUCAUUCCAUACUCAAUCUCGUAUCUAAUAUGUUGUCGAAUCUAAUCUGCAUUGCUAUCUGCAUUGGUACUGAAUACCUCGAAUGCUAUAAUUGGAUGGAUAGAAUUAGUAAGUAGUAUUUAGCAAUUUCACGUAAAACUUCAGCUUUACCGUUAAAAUGGAUAAACAACUUCCGACGAAAAAAUAAAGGAGGAAGCGUAGGACAAAAAAGUGUCUUGUAAUGAAGAAGGAGGCUUCGUGAUUGUGUGCCAAGUACGGAACAACUACGCCCGUACGGAAACACGACGUUUCGGACAACUUUUUAAAUUAAACACAAUCCCAAGAUGAGUGGCGGUCCUCGCACGUCGCUCGCACGAUGGGUGCGUUUUCAAGACACUUUUUUCCACGAACAACCAAUUUCGGAAUCAACUUCCAGCAGCAGUAUCUCCAAACCGAUACGAUAUCAUAGCCUUCAAGAAAAGAGCAUAUUCUCUUUUAAAAGGCGGCAGCACACCUGCAUAGUCACUUGCCAUCAGGUAAACCGCAUGUUUGUUUGCCCUCUGUAUUAUAAAAAAAAAAUUAAUGAAGCUUACUUUUAAUAAACUGGUUGUUGUUAGUACUUUUAUUAGCAGAUACUUGGGAUAACUGGUUACGCCUUCUAACUAGAUAAUUAUGUAAACACUCUUAAGAUAUAGCAAUACAAGAAUAAACAUAUUCAAAUGACCUGUUUAAACUAUACAACUAUUUCUUUCUAAAAUAAUAAAAUCUUAGUUUAUUAACAUUACCUGGGUUUUUCUGGCAUGCAUAACAUCACU